CCUACGGGAGGCUGCAGUGGGGAAUCUUGCACAAUGGGGGAAACCCUGAUGCAGCGACGCCGCGUGAGUGAAGAAGUAUUUCGGUAUGUAAAGCUCUAUCAGCAGGGAAGACACUGACGGUACCUGCUUAAGAAGCCCCGGCUCACUACGUGCCCGCAGCCGCGGUCAUACGUAGGGGGCAAGCGUUAUCCGGAUUUACUGGGUGUAAAGGGAGCGUAGACGGCAGCACAAGUCUGGAGUGAAAUGCCGGGGCUUAAACCCGGAACUGCUUUGGAAACUGUGCAGCUAGAGUGCAGGAGAGGUAAGUGGAAGUCCUAGUGUAGCGGGGAAAUGCGUAGAUAUUAGGAGGAACACCAGUGGCGAAGGCGGCUUACUGGACUGUAACGGACGUUGAGGCUCGAAAGCGUGGGGAGCAAACAGGAUUAGAUACCCGAGUAGUC
rnacentral:rRNA from 1 species